UGCUCGGAAUCACUGGGCGUAAAGCGCACGUAGGCGGACUCUUCAGUCGGUGGUGAAAUCCUGGAGCUCAACUCCAGAACUGCCUUCGAUACUGAGAGUCUUGAGUCCGGGAGAGGUGAGUGGAACUGCGAGUGUAGAGGUGAAAUUCGUAGAUAUUCGCAAGAACACCAGUGGCGAAGGCGGCUCACUGGCCCGGUACUGACGCUGAGGUGCGAAAGCGUGGGGAGCAAACAGG
rnacentral:rRNA from 1 species